rnacentral:rRNA from 1 species
UACGGGGGGGGGCAAGCGUUGUUCGGAAUUACUGGCGUAAGCGUGCGCAGGCGGUGAUGUAGAACAGAUGUGAAAUCCCCCGGGCUCAACCUGGGAACUGCAUUUGUGACUGCAUCGCUGGAGUGCGGCAGAGGGGGAUGGAAUUCCGCGUGUAGCAGUGAAAUGCGUAGAUAUCGGGAGGAACACCAGUGGCGAAGGCGGCUUCCUGGCCUGUUCUUGACGCUGAGGCGCGAAAGCUAGGGGAGCAAACGGG